UACGGGGGGGGCAAGCGUUGUUCGGAAUUACUGGGCGUAAAGGGCGCGUAGGCGGUUUGCUAAGUUGGAUGUGAAAACUCUGGGCUUAACCCAGAGCCUGCAUCCAAAACUGGCAAACUUGAGUACUGGAGGGGAAAGCGGAAUUCCUGGUGUAGCGGUGAAAUGCGUAGAUAUCAGGAGGAACACCGGUGGCGAAGGCGGCUUUCUGGACAGUAACUGACGCUGGAGGCGCGAAAGCUAGGGGAGCAAACAGG
rnacentral:rRNA from 1 species